GAAUAUUGGACAAUGGGCGCAAGCCUGAUCCAGCCAUGCCGCGUGAGUGAUGAAGGCCUUAGGGUUGUAAAGCUCUUUCGCCGGGGACGAUGAUGACGGUACCCGGAGAAGAAGCCCCGGCUAACUUCGUGCCAGCAGCCGCGGUAAUACGAAGGGGGCAAGCGUUGUUCGGAAUUACUGGGCGUAAAGGGCGCGUAGGCGGCCGCUCAAGUCAGGUGUGAAAUCCCCGGGCUCAACCUGGGAACUGCACUUGAAACUGUGUGGCUUGAAUGCGUGAGAGGUUGGUGGAAUUCCCAGUGUAGAGGUGAAAUUCGUAGAUAUUGGGAAGAACACCGGUGGCGAAGGCGGCCAACUGGCACGGUAUUGACGCUGAGGCGCGAAAGCGUGGGGAGCAAACAGG
rnacentral:rRNA from 1 species